GCUCCGGUGGCCUAGUGGUUACAGCAUCCACCUUGGAUGCGGGAGGCUGCAGGUUCUAACCCUGGCCAAGUCA